ACGGGUGAGUAAUACGUAGGAAUCUACCCUCAAGCGGGGGAUAACUAGUGGAAACGCUAGCCAAUACCGCAUAAUCUCGAGAGAGCAAAGGUGCCCGAAAGGGUGACACUUGGGGAGGAGCCUACGGCUGAUUAGCUAGUUGGUGGGGUAAAGGCCUACCAAGGCGUUGAUCAGUAACUGGUCUGAGAGGACGGCCAGUCACACUGGGACUGAGACACGGCCCAGACUCCUACGGGAGGCAGCAGUGGGGAAUCUUGGACAAUGGGGGCAACCCUGAUCCAGCGAUGCCGCGUGAGUGAAGAAGGCCCUCGGGUCGUAAAGCUCUUUAGGUUGGGAAGAAGGCUCUGAGGUGAAUACCCUUGGAGAUUGACGGUACCAACAGAAUAAGCACCGGCAAAUUCUGUGCCAGCAGCCGCGGUAAUACAGAAGGUGCGAGCGUUAAUCGGAUUAACUGGGCGUAAAGGGCGCGUAGGCGGUAAGAUGUGUGUGAUGUGAAAACCCUGGGCUUAACCUAGGAAGUGCAUCGCAAACUAUCUAACUGGAGUAGAUGAGAGGGUGGCGGAAUUUCAGGUGUAGCGG
rnacentral:rRNA from 1 species